rnacentral:rRNA from 1 species
CCCUUAGAUGUUCUGGGCCGCACGCGCGCUACACUGACGAAGUCAGCGAGCAUGUCCUACGCCGACAGGUGCGGGGAAUCUUGUCAAACUUCGUCGUGAUGGGGAUCGAUUUUUGAAAUUCUUGAUCAUAAACGAGGAAUUCCUAGUAAGCGCAAGUCAGCAGCUUGCGUUGAUUACGUCCCUGCCCUUUGUACACACCGCCCGUCGCUACUACCGAUUGAAUGGUUUAGUGAGAUCUUCGGAUUGGCGCCACUGCAGCUCAGCAAUGGGCUUGGUGGAUGCCGAAAAGUUGAUCAAACUUGAUCAUUUAGAGGAAGUAAAAGUCGUAACA